rnacentral:rRNA from 1 species
UUAAGUUAUUAAGGGCGCACGGUGGAUGCCUUGGCACUAGAAGCCGAUGAAGGACGUUACUAACGACGAUAUGCUUUGGGGAGCUGUAAGUAAGCUUUGAUCCAGAGAUUUCCGAAUGGGGAAACCCAGCAUGAGUUAUGUCAUGUUAUCGAUAUGUGAAUACAUAGCAUAUCAGAAGGCACACCCGGAGAACUGAAACAUCUUAGUACCCGGAGGAAGAGAAAGAAAAUUCGAUUCCCUUAGUAGCGGCGAGCGAAACGGGAAGAGCCCAAACCAACAAGCUUGCUUGUUGGGGUUGUAGGACACUCUAUACGGAGUUACAAAGGACGACAUUAGACGAAUCAUCUGGAAAGAUGAAUCAAAGAAGGUAAUAAUCCUGUAGUCGAAAAUGUUGUCUCUCUUGAGUGGAUCCUGAGUACGACGGAGCACGUGAAAUUCCGUCGGAAUCUGGGAGGACCAUCUCCUAAGGCUAAAUACUCUCUAGUGACCGAUAGUGAACCAGUACCGUGAGGGAAAGGUGAAAAGCACCCCGGAAGGGGAGUGAAAUAGAACCUGAAACCGUGUGCUUACAAGUAGUCAGAGCCCGUUAAUGGGUGAUGGCGUGCCUUUUGUAGAAUGAACCGGCGAGUUACGAUUUGAUGCAAGGUUAAGCAGUAAAUGUGGAGCCGUAGCGAAAGCGAGUCUGAAUAGGGCGUUUAGUAUUUGGUCGUAGACCCGAAACCAGGUGAUCUACCCUUGGUCAGGUUGAAGUUCAGGUAACACUGAAUGGAGGACCGAACCGACUUACGUUGAAAAGUGAGCGGAUGAACUGAGGGUAGCGGAGAAAUUCCAAUCGAACCUGGAGAUAGCUGGUUCUCUCCGAAAUAGCUUUAGGGCUAGCCUCAAGUGAUGAUUAUUGGAGGUAGAGCACUGUUUGGAUGAGGGGCCCCUCUCGGGUUACCGAAUUCAGACAAACUCCGAAUGCCAAUUAAUUUAACUUGGGAGUCAGAACAUGGGUGAUAAGGUCCGUGUUCGAAAGGGAAACAGCCCAGACCACCAGCUAAGGUCCCAAAAUAUAUGUUAAGUGGAAAAGGAUGUGGCGUUGCCCAGACAACUAGGAUGUUGGCUUAGAAGCAGCCAUCAUUUAAAGAGUGCGUAAUAGCUCACUAGUCGAGUGACACUGCGCCGAAAAUGUACCGGGGCUAAACAUAUUACCGAAGCUGUGGAUUGUCCUUUGGACAAUGGUAGGAGAGCGUUCUAAGGGCGUUGAAGCAUGAUCGUAAGGACAUGUGGAGCGCUUAGAAGUGAGAAUGCCGGUGUGAGUAGCGAAAGACGGGUGAGAAUCCCGUCCACCGAUUGACUAAGGUUUCCAGAGGAAGGCUCGUCCGCUCUGGGUUAGUCGGGUCCUAAGCUGAGGCCGACAGGCGUAGGCGAUGGAUAACAGGUUGAUAUUCCUGUACCACCUAUAAUCGUUUUAAUCGAUGGGGGGGACGCAGUAGGAUAGGCGAAGCGUGCGAUUGGAUUGCACGUCUAAGCAGUAAGGCUGAGUAUUAGGCAAAUCCGGUACUCGUUAAGGCUGAGCUGUGAUGGGGAGAAGACAUUGUGUCUUCGAGUCGUUGAUUUCACACUGCCGAGAAAAGCCUCUAGAUAGAAAAUAGGUGCCCGUACCGCAAACCGACACAGGUAGUCAAGAUGAGAAUUCUAAGGUGAGCGAGCGAACUCUCGUUAAGGAACUCGGCAAAAUGACCCCGUAACUUCGGGAGAAGGGGUGCUCUUUAGGGUUAACGCCCAGAAGAGCCGCAGUGAAUAGGCCCAAGCGACUGUUUAUCAAAAACACAGGUCUCUGCUAAACCGUAAGGUGAUGUAUAGGGGCUGACGCCUGCCCGGUGCUGGAAGGUUAAGAGGAGUGGUUAGCUUCUGCGAAGCUACGAAUCGAAGCCCCAGUAAACGGCGGCCGUAACUAUAACGGUCCUAAGGUAGCGAAAUUCCUUGUCGGGUAAGUUCCGACCCGCACGAAAGGCGUAACGAUUUGGGCACUGUCUCAACGAGAGACUCGGUGAAAUCAUAGUACCUGUGAAGAUGCAGGUUACCCGCGACAGGACGGAAAGACCCCGUGGAGCUUUACUGUAGCCUGAUAUUGAAAUUCGGCACAGCUUGUACAGGAUAGGUAGGAGCCUUUGAAACGUGAGCGCUAGCUUACGUGGAGGCGCUGGUGGGAUACUACCCUAGCUGUGUUGGCUUUCUAACCCGCACCACUUAUCGUGGUGGGAGACAGUGUCAGGCGGGCAGUUUGACUGGGGCGGUCGCCUCCUAAAAGGUAACGGAGGCGCUCAAAGGUUCCCUCAGAAUGGUUGGAAAUCAUUCAUAGAGUGUAAAGGCAUAAGGGAGCUUGACUGCGAGACCUACAAGUCGAGCAGGGUCGAAAGACGGACUUAGUGAUCCGGUGGUUCCGCAUGGAAGGGCCAUCGCUCAACGGAUAAAAGCUACCCCGGGGAUAACAGGCUUAUCUCCCCCAAGAGUUCACAUCGACGGGGAGGUUUGGCACCUCGAUGUCGGCUCAUCGCAUCCUGGGGCUGUAGUCGGUCCCAAGGGUUGGGCUGUUCGCCCAUUAAAGCGGUACGCGAGCUGGGUUCAGAACGUCGUGAGACAGUUCGGUCCCUAUCCGUCGUGGGCGUAGGAAAUUUGAGAGGAGCUGUCCUUAGUACGAGAGGACCGGGAUGGACAUACCUCUGGUGUACCAGUUGUCGUGCCAACGGCAUAGCUGGGUAGCUAUGUGUGGACGGGAUAAGUGCUGAAAGCAUCUAAGCAUGAAGCCCCCCUCAAGAUGAGAUUUCCCAACUUCGGUUAUAAGAUCCCUCAAAGAUGAUGAGGUUAAUAGGUUCGAGGUGGAAGCAUGGUGACAUGUGGAGCUGACGAAUACUAAUCGAUCGAAGACUUAAUCAA